rnacentral:rRNA from 1 species
UGGGGAAUAUUGGACAAUGGGCGAAAGCCUGAUCCAGCCAUGCCGCGUGUGUGAAGAAGGUCUUCGGAUUGUAAAGCACUUUAAGUUGGGAGGAAGGGCAGUAAGCGAAUACCUUGCUGUUUUGACGUUACCGACAGAAUAAGCACCGGCUAACUCUGUGCCAGCAGCCGCGGUAAUACAGAGGGUGCAAGCGUUAAUCGGAAUUACUGGGCGUAAAGCGCGCGUAGGUGGUUCGUUAAGUUGAAUGUGAAAGCCCCGGGCUCAACCUGGGAACUGCAUCCAAAACUGGCGAGCUAGAGUAGGGCAGAGGGUGGUGGAAUUUCCUGUGUAGCGGUGAAAUGCGUAGAUAUAGGAAGGAACACCAGUGGCGAAGGCGACCACCUGGGCUCAUAUUGACACUGAGGUGCGAAAGCGUGGGGAGCAAACAGG